AUGGCGACAUUUGUGGGGACGACACCCGGGGGAACGACUCCCGCAGGAGUGACUCCGGCGGGAACCACACCCGAGUCGGAGAAAGAUGCUGAAUUCCAGGAGCAUGAAAAGAUUCUGUCUCCAGAUUUUCUUUCAGUUGCCCAGAUCAUUGAAAUACUAGCAGAGGAUGUAGAUGGAGUUCAACAAUAUAUAUAUAUCCAGACUCUGGAACACAAAAAUUCUCAAACUGACUUUUUGCACUGCUCAGCAGUCUUUUUUAUGGAAGAAGUGGAUUUCAAACCAACUUGUUAUCUUAACACAGAAUAGGGGUUUAUUGUUAAAAGCAACCAUUAGCAUAUGACAUCUUUUCUCUUUCAUUUGUAAAACCGACAGUAUGCAUAAGAACCUCUAUGUCUUCUGUCUCAUCCUGACAAGAGUAAGAUGUAUUUUCUGUAAUACUAAUAGUCAAUACAUGUAUAAUUUUGGUAAUCCUGAAUAUUAGCCAUCCACCUGUGAUUUUUAUUGGAUAUGAAGCUAUACUAAGUACUCUAAUCUCAUACAUUUUGUUUAAAUAUGGGAAUAUAACUGAAUCUAUAGGCAUCAGUUCUAGUACAGGUACUUCUUAUUUUUAAAGCCAUUGAUUUCUACAGUAGAUCAUUUUCUUAGAACUCUUAGAUAUACUCAGAUAUAUUCACCACACAAAUGCCUAAACAGUGUUUUUAGUAGCAUUCAUUUUAAAAAUUAUCUCACUGUAAUAAUGGAAGCCUGAUUAGUUGUAAUAUAUGGAGAGUGGGAAUGAUGUGAUGAUGUUCUGGACUGUAAGGGUAAGAUUUCUGUAGGCCAGUCAUCUGGAUGCAAG
rnacentral:lncRNA from 1 species